CUUCUUUGGCAGCUCCCCCCUACCCUUGUAUGGUCAUGGGCCCAUCUGACUUGUACAGGGGUUGGAGCUGCUCUUGCUUUCACUCUUUUGGAACACGGAUCGUAGCAGGUUGACAUACUUCUCAUGGUGGCAUCCAAGGUGGUUGUGUUUGUGGAGGUCAAUUUGAGCUGUAUAGAAAAGUAGACACAGAGCAUGAAGGAAUAAAAGACAAACUCAGUAUGUUUUCACAAAACAGCUUUACAAAUGUCUAAAUCCAA